rnacentral:lncRNA from 1 species
CAUCUUCUCCUCAAACAUGGUUUCUAGCCCACGAAAACUCGUCAAAAUCAUGAUCCAAGGCCACAACACACACCGCCACUACUAAAUAUACAUCAUAUCUAUGCAAAAUACCAAGGUAUACAUGCUCAUUUCAGAUUUUUAAAAAGAAGACUCACCCUUAUAGCUAUAACUUCACUCUAAAACUUACGCCCAAUAUCCUUCUCACAUUCCCUUUCUUCCUAUUUUGCUUGAGGCUUCAAGGGGGAUGCUAUGGAGGGUGAGAUGGGGGGAGAAGAGCUUGAUAAUGGUGGUGGGAGAGAGAGGGGAUGGAGACGUGAGUGACUUUAUUAGUUUCUUAUGGGAUGUGUGA